CCUGAGUACGACGGAGCACGUGAAAUUCCGUCGGAAUCUGGGAGGACCAUCUCCUAAGGCUAAAUACUCUCUAGUGACCGAUAGUGAACCAGUACCGUGAGGGAAAGGUGAAAAGUACCCCGGAAGGGGAGUGAAAGAGAACUUGAAACCGUGUGCUUACAAGUAGUCAGAGCCCGUUAAUGGGUGAUGGCGUGCCUUUUGUAGAAUGAACCGGCGAGUUACGAUCUGAUGCAAGGUUAAGCAGAAAAUGUGGAGCCGUAGCGAAAGCGAGUCUGAAUAGGGCGAAUGAGUAUUUGGUCGUAGACCCGAAACCAGGUGAUCUACCCUUGGUCAGGUUGAAGUUCAGGUAACACUGAAUGGAGGACCGAACCGACUUACGUUGAAAAGUGAGCGGAUGAACUGAGGGUAGCGGAGAAAUUCCAAUCGAACUUGGAGAUAGCUGGUUCUCUCCGAAAUAGCUUUAGGGCUAGCCUCAAGUGAUGAUUAUUGGAGGUAGAGCACUGUUUGGACGAGGGGCCCCUCUCGGGUUACCGAAUUCAGACAAACUCCGAAUGCCAAAUAAUUUAACUUGGGAGUCAGAAUGUGGGUGAUAAGGUCCAUAUUCGAAAGGGAAACAGCCCAGACCACCAGCUAAGGUCCCAAAAUAUAUGUUAAGUGGAAAAGGAUGUGGCGUUGCCCAGACAACUAGGAUGUUGGCUUAGAAGCAGCCAUCAUUUAAAGAGUGCGUAAUAGCUCACUAGUCGAGUGACACUGCGCCGAAAAUGUACCGGGGCUAAACAUAUUACCGAAGCUGUGGAUUGUCCUUUGGACAAUGGUAGGAGAGCGUUCUAAGGGCGUUGAAGCAUGAUCGCAAGGACAUGUGGAGCGCUUAGAAGUGAGAAUGCCGGUGUGAGUAGCGAAAGACGGGUGAGAAUCCCGUCCACCGAUUGACUAAGGUUUCCAGAGGAAGGCUCGUCCGCUCUGGGUUAGUCGGGUCCUAAGCUGAGGCCGACAGGCGUAGGCGAUGGAUAACAGGUUGAUAUUCCUGUACCACCAUUAUUCGUUUUAAGCGAUGGGGGGACGCAGUAGGAUAGGCGAAGCGUGCUGUUGGAGUGCACGUCCAAGCAGUGAGAUUGAGUGUUAGGCAAAUCCGGCACUCUUAAGAUUGAGCUGUGAUGGGGAGAGGAACUUGUUCCUCGAGUCGUUGAUUUCACACUGCCGAGAAAAGCCUCUAGCUAGAAUAACGGUGCCCGUACCGCAAACCGACACAGGUAGUCAAGAUGAGAAUUCUAAGGUGAGCGAGCGAACUCUCGUUAAGGAACUCGGCAAAAUGACCCCGUAACUUCGGGAGAAGGGGUGCUCUUUGAGGUUCACGCUUCGAAGAGCCGCAGUGAAUAGGCCCAAGCGACUGUUUAUCAAAAACACAGGUCUCUGCUAAACCGUAAGGUGACGUAUAGGGGCUGACGCCUGCCCGGUGCUGGAAGGUUAAGAGGAGUGGUUAGCGCAAGCGAAGCUACGAAUCGAAGCCCCAGUAAACGGCGGCCGUAACUAUAACGGUCCUAAGGUAGCGAAAUUCCUUGUCGGGUAAGUUCCGACCCGCACGAAAGGCGUAACGAUUUGGGCACUGUCUCAACGAGAGACUCGGUGAAAUCAUAGUACCGGUGAAGAUGCCGGUUACCCGCGACAGGACGGAAAGACCCCGUGGAGCUUUACUGUAGCCUGAUAUUGAAAUUCGGUACAGUUUGUACAGGAUAGGUAG
rnacentral:rRNA from 1 species